UUAGAAGGCCUUUUCAGUUUGAAGACAAAGAAGAAGGGUUGAAGGGAUUUAGGGGUUUAGAGCCAAGUAUCGAGGGGGAGGUCGAACAAAAGGUGGGGGGAGGGGUUCAGAAGUAUCCAUGACUCGGCUAUUCUCCAGCCUAGCCAAAAAAGAUAAUAGGAGCUCAUCAGCUUGAGAGGAGGAAGAGAGGUUGUGGACGAGGUGAUGUUAAUAAACAAAAUUGUAAUAUUAGUGAAUUUGGCAUUGCAUACGAAAACCUACCGUAGUUUAUGACUCAAAAGUUUUUGGGCCUUGGUACAAAAUUUUAAAAGCUUUUGUGUGAACUUUCAUAUUCAUAUAAGAAGUUGCAACCUACAAGAUUGCUUCAUACUCUAUUUAUUUUGGGUCACUUAAAAGUUUAAAAUGAACUUGCAUCCUUCUUUCCCUAAAAUAUUAAACAAACCUCUGCAAUUUUUUUUUGCUUUAUGUUUUAAUAGAAGCUUUUUUUUAGUGGUUUGUUAUGCAUUAACUUCUUAAGAUUGUCUGAUUCAAAUGUUGUAUGAUUGUAUUUGCAGGAAUCUGGGGUAGCGGAAGCUGAAUUUGCUCGAACUAAUACAAUAUUACUUUUCAAAUGGUUAUUAACCUACACCAUAAACCUGCGCCUUUUUUUCUGUCCAAAGGCAAGGGAUUUGUAGGAUCCCUAGAUAAAGAAAUUACAUUUCCCUCUUGGCUGUCAGAAGAUGAUAUCAACUACUACGCAAGUAAAUUUAGCAAGUCGGGCUUUACUGGUGGAUUUAACUACUAUCGGAACUUAGACAGAUUGAUUUUCUGACAACUGUCUAUGUGGAUCAAUGAUUUUGUCAAACUAAAUAAUGAAGGCGGUUUCAUGAUCAGUUGAUUUUCUCCUCCGGAGAACUUUGGUUUGCUGGAAGCCUGUUUCAAUAAGAAGAGCAUGAGUAGCUAUUCUUUCUGUUUCAAUUGAAAAUUAAAUUGUUAAGAAUUUUCUUCAAGAGGUCAUACUAGAACUUUGGUGGAAAAUUGACCCAUCGACUUGAGUUUAGGCAUCCAAAUAAUAUUUUGAGUAAGCAUCUAUUGCUAACCUUUUUGAAGGAUUAAAAUAUAUCCUCUGUGAAUAGCUCCUUUUAAAUAUUAUAGUUGGUGUUCCACUAA